rnacentral:rRNA from 1 species
AUUGAACGCUGGCGGCAGGCUUAACACAUGCAAGUCGAGCGGGGAAGUAUAGCUUGCUAUACGACCUAGCGGCGGACGGGUGAGUAAUGCUUAGGAAUCUGCCUAUUAGUGGGGGACAACAUUCCGAAAGGAAUGCUAAUACCGCAUACGCCCUACGGGGGAAAGCAGGGGAUCUUCGGACCUUGCGCUAAUAGAUGAGCCUAAGUCAGAUUAGCUAGUUGGUGGGGUAAAGGCCUACCAAGGCGACGAUCUGUAGCGGGUCUGAGAGGAUGAUCCGCCACACUGGGACUGAGACACGGCCCAGACUCCUACGGGAGGCAGCAGUGGGGAAUAUUGGACAAUGGGCGAAAGCCUGAUCCAGCCAUGCCGCGUGUGUGAAGAAGGCCUUUUGGUUGUAAAGCACUUUAAGCGAGGAGGAGGCUACCGAGAUUAAUACUCUUGGAUAGUGGACGUUACUCGCAGAAUAAGCACCGGCUAACUCUGUGCCAGCAGCCGCGGUAAUACAGAGGGUGCGAGCGUUAAU